rnacentral:rRNA from 1 species
UACGUAGGGGGCUAGCGUUGUCCGGAAUCAUUGGGCGUAAAGAGCGUGUAGGCGGCCCGGUAAGUCCGCUGUAAAAGUCAAAGGCUCAACCUUUGAAUGUCAGUGGAUACUGCCGGGCUAGAGUCCGGAAGAGGCGAGUGGAACUCCUGGUGCAGCGGUGGAAUGCGCAGAUAUCAGGAAGAACACCAACGGCGAAGGCAGCUCGCUGGGACGGUACUGACGCUGAGGCGCGAAAGCGUGGGGAGCGAACAGG